ACAAGCAGAGGGGGCUUAGUGGUGGGGUGACUGCGUACCUUUUGUAUAAUGGGUCAGCGACUUAUAUUCUGUAGCAAGGUUAACCGAAUAGGGGAGCCGGAGGGAAACCGAGUCUUAACCGGGCGUUAAGUUGCAGGGUAUAGACCCGAAACCCGGUGAUCUAGCCAUGGGCAGGUUGAAGGUUGGGUAACACUAACUGGAGGACCGAACCGACUAAUGUUGAAAAAUUAGCGGAUGACCUGUGGCUGGGGGUGAAAGGCCAAUCAAACCGGGAGAUAGCUGGUUCUCCCCGAAAGCU
rnacentral:rRNA from 1 species